rnacentral:rRNA from 1 species
CCUACGGGCGGCAGCAGUGAGGAAUAUUGGUCAAUGGACGAGAGUCUGAACCAGCCAAGUAGCGUGAAGGAUGACUGCCCUAUGGGUUGUAAACUUCUUUUAUAAAGGAAUAAAACGAGGCACGUGUGCCUUUUUGCAUGUACUUUAUGAAUAAGGAUCGGCUAACUCCGUGCCAGCCGCCGCGGUAAUACGGAGGAUCCGAGCGUUAUCCGGAUUUAUUGGGUUUAAAGGGAGCGUAGAUGGGUUGUUAAGUCAGUUGUGAAAGUUUGCGGCUCAACCGUAAAAUUGCAAUUGAUACUGGCAGUCUUGAGUACAGUUGAGGUAAGCGGAAUUCGUGGUGUAGCGGUGAAAUGCUUAGAUAUCACGAAGAACCCCGAUUGCGAAGGCAGCUUACUAAACUGUGACUGACAUUGAUGCUCGAAAGUGUGGGUAUCAAACAGGAUUAGAUACCCUUGUAGUC